UGCGUAGGCGGGUUUCUAAGUCAGAGGUGAAAGCCUGGAGCUCAACUCCAGAACUGCCUUUGAUACUGGAAGUCUUGAGUAUGGCAGAGGUGAGUGGAACUGCGAGUGUAGAGGUGAAAUUCGUAGAUAUUCGCAAGAACACCAGUGGCGAAGGCGGCUCACUGGGCCAUUACUGACGCUGAGGCACGAAAGCGUGGGGAGUAAACA
rnacentral:rRNA from 1 species